CAAAGUAUGUUAUGUUGAAAUUCCAUUAUCCAAAUAUUAAAAACAAAUUUGUGAUACAAUAAUACAUGUGCUUCUACUAACACAUUUACCUAACAAGAUUCAUGGCUGAGUCUGAUAACCAUCAUAGUUUUAAAAUAUUGCUGAUCAAAAAUGUUAUUUCCAGAUAUCUGCAAUAAUUACAUGCGUGAUGACUGUAUCUAUGAUUUACAGCGGGGACAAAGUCAUGGGUGUUGCUGAUACUAUGCAGUUUAUUCCUCUAGCCGUAAUGGAAGCACACCCUGCAUGUCAGCCAAAGGCUCUCUGGAGAUCUUUACUUGUCAUUUUAUGUAUUAAUUGACACCUCCUGAAAUUCCUUGGAAACUUAGAAACUGAAUUUGCAGCUCUUCAUGUUAUCACUGCCAGCCCCCUUUGAGGAAAUGCAUAUUCAAAGGGCACACAAACAAGUCAAGGUCGUGGAGCACAGUUCGAGGCCCUGACUUCUGCUGAGCUCCACAUCUCUGGUCCUGCAUUCUGGCCUGGCAGAUGCGGCUACAGAGGGGCAGGGAGCCAUGGGACCUGGCCUGGCCACCACUUGAGACAGCCGAGCAGUGGUGUCACUGGAAUACAAAGAACAGAUUUCUGUUCCAGCCUCUGAUGACAGACGCUCAAACAGGAAAUAAUCAGAGGAAGAAAGGACAAACCUAUCUCAUCAGGAGACAGAAGAGACAAUAGACUUCCAGGAAAGGAACAUGCCUUUGCUUUGUAGAUGGGCCAUGGAACGAAAGACUGUUUGCCAAUCCCUUGUUUCAGAAGCUGGUGUUGAAAGUCUCCUCUUUGCUUCCAGCUUGUCUUAUUUGACAGAUUCUUCCCCCACACCCUGGUUUUAAGGACAUUUUAAGGUCUUCUGAAGGGCUUCCUUACAACGUCUUCUCUACGUUCUUUUUAUGUUUUGAAUAAUUUGAUCUUGUUUUUAGUAUCAAUUACUGACACUGACUUCUAGUCUUAGCUUUAUAAUUAGAAAACUGUGACAUUAACACAAAUUUUCAAGGGCUCGGUUUUAGUAUCUGAAGAAGACAUUUUUCCUACUGAUUCAAAUACAGCUUUUAAUAAAUAAAAGAAAAAGAAGGAAUA